rnacentral:rRNA from 1 species
UAGGGAAUCUUCCGCAAUGGACGCAAGUCUGACGGAGCAACGCCGCGUGAGUGAAGAAGGAUUUCGGUUCGUAAAACUCUGUUGUUAGAGAAGAACAGCGCAUAGAGUAACUGUUAUGCGUGUGACGGUAUCUAACCAGAAAGCCACGGCUAACUACGUGCCAGCAGCCGCGGUAAUACGUAGGUGGCAAGCGUUGUCCGGAUUUAUUGGGCGUAAAGCGAGCGCAGGCGGUCAAUUAAGUCUGAUGUGAAAGCCCCCGGCUCAACCGGGGAGGGUCAUUGGAAACUGGUUUACUUGAGUGCAGAUGAGGAGAGUGGAAUUCCAUGUGUAGCGGUGAAAUGCGUAGAUAUAUGGAGGAGCACCAGUGGCGAAGGCGACUCUCUAGUCUGUAACUGACGCUGAGGCUCGAAAGCGUGGGUAGCAAACAGG